rnacentral:rRNA from 1 species
UACGUUCCCGGGCCUUGUACACACCGCCCGUCACGUCACGAAAGUUGGUAACACCCGAAGCCGACGGCCUAACCCCGCAAGGGGGAGGGAGUUGUCGAAGGUGGGACUGGCGAUUGGGACG